rnacentral:misc_RNA from 1 species
GUAUUGUAUUGCGUUAAACGCGGCAUACAUUCCAUAAGACUUUAUUACAGUGUGUGUGUAAAUACAUAGAACCGCGACAGGGGAAACAGAGCUCCCAGGCUGCAGAACUAUGGAGGGUGCACAGGUGUGAGUGGAUGUGCAAACAGAGCGUGCACAUGCCCCCAUUUGAGGACCAGCAACAACUCGUGUUGACAAUUCGGUAAUGAUCCUUCCGCAGGUUCACCUACGGAAA